rnacentral:rRNA from 1 species
UACGUAGGGAGCAAGCGUUGUCCGGAAUCAUUGGGCGUAAAGCGCGCGUAGGCGGCCCUGUAAGUCCGCUGUGAAAGUCAAAGGCUCAACCUUUGAAAGCCGGUGGAUACUGCAGGGCUAGAGUCCGGAAGAGGCGAGUGGAAUUCCUGGUGUAGCGGUGGAAUGCGCAGAUAUCAGGAGGAACACCAAUAGCGAAGGCAGCUCGCUGGGACGGUACUGAC